ensembl:lncRNA LINC01145 long intergenic non-protein coding RNA 1145
CUUGUGCAGAGGACUCUCCAGGUGAAGGCUCAAGGGUGGAUCCAGCUCGAGACACCCUCGCUCCCCCUCACAGUCGGACCUUAGGAUUUAGGCUUUAACAUCUCCACAUCAUGAGAUUCGAAACCUUUAGGUCUUGUCUUCCGUUCUGUCCUCCAAAUCGGCCUCUUCCGAGCCUGUUGACCAGGGCCAGCCGGGCAGAGGGCUGGGCUCGCUCAACGAGGCUCCUCUCGCACCUCCUGGAGCUUCAGGCUUCUUUCCGUUGCAGAGAAGCUUUAUGGGCCAAUUCGUUCGGCAUCCCCGGGGGCAGGUGCGCGGUGCGCGGGGAAGAAGAGGAUUUGACUGCGGUUCUCCACCCCCGGCGCCCAACCUCCACCCCGGUGCGCGCGCUCUUCCAGGCUCCUGCUGGUCCCACUUGCCAGGAGUUAGGUCUCAGGUCAGCCUGAGCUCCUGAGACGCCCAGGCCCGGAAAGACACGUAGGGGAAACCAUCUGCUCACUUCUGUCCUGUCCGGAAGGGAUCCCUUUCUGACGGGAAAGAAAGGCGGUGAGUCCUGUCCUGUUGAGUAGGCGGAAGAGAGAUCAAAGGGAAGACAAGAAAAAUCCUGUGAGUUUUCAGGAUCUAAAGUUACCAUGAGGUCGACCUAACCUCCUCUGGAGGUCCUCCCGGUCCUCCCGUGGCUGUCGAAGGUGAAUCUAGCUUCCGUCUCCAGUUCGCCAAGGCGGACAAAGCCGACGACAAUGGGCCUGUCCACUAUCUUCUUUCAUAUGCACAAAAUGUCAGCUCUUCUUGUUUCUAACUUGCAACAUCCCACCUGAUGACCAGCUCAGCAAAUUAGAGACCCUCCAUGGGAUUCCAUCUCUGUCUUAGUUCGGGCUUCCAUAACUAUAUACCAUAAACUGGGUGGCUAAUUCACGACAGAAAUUUAUUUCUCACAGUUCUGGAGGUUGGAAGUCCGAGAUCAAGGUGCCAACAUGGUAGGGUUAUGAUGAGGGACUUUUUUCUGGUUGUAGACUGCCACCUUCUCAUUGUAUCCUCAGGGGGCAGAGAGAGCUCCCUGGGGUCCCUUUUAUAGUGGCAUUAGUCCCACUCAGACUAACGGGACUAAAUCCAGACCCAGUUAUUGCAAUGUGUGCAAAAGAACAAGGACUUGUACUAUCUGACUUCAAGGCUUACUAUAAGCUAUUACAGACAAGGCAUCAGGAGGGACAAAUAGAUAAACAGACUGAGUUAAGAGACCUGAAACUGAUCCACAGCCAUACAGUCAAUAAAUGAGCUUUCAAUGAAAGCAGUUCAAUAGAAGAAAAUAAAUCAUUUCAAUUAAUGGACUUUCAUAUGGAGGUGGGGGAGACCAACAAUGUUAUUCUCCCUCACACUACAUACAAAAGUAAUUUGAGGUGCAUUAUACACCAAAACUUAAAAGUUAAAGAUAUAAAGCAUUUCAAGGAUACUCUGUAGGUAAAGAUUAGCCUACCAACAAGUAGGACACUGAAAAAAUAUAUAUAAAAGACAUGAUAAAUUAGACUUCAUCAACAUUAGCCAUACCUUCUCAUCAAAAGAUACCACUAAGAAAGUGAAAAGGCAAGCAAGCCACAGACAGAGAGAAAAUAGUCACAAAACGUAUCUGACCUCCACAUCCUGUAAUUAGAAUUAUUGUGGUCUGGUACACUGCACCCAGUUUCUGCAGGAGUACUUUCUGGGUGUCUCUAAUGAGUAAGAGAGGGCCCCAUGGGAUAUUCCUACAGUUCCCAGAUGAACAGUGGGAAAGACUCUACGUUGACAAACCCCGGGGACCUGAAACCUCAGGUCCUCAAGGAGGGUAGAGGAUACCUGGACCCUGACCCAGACCCCUAGAUGGGCUGUGCCAAGAGACCCAGCAAGGGAAGGGAUUCCCUCCUGCCUCAGGUUCUCUGUUCUUCUGUGGUUAGAAGACCUGAACCCAACUCCCUCCCCAAGCAGUGGAGAUAGGGCUUUUCCAAGGGCUGGGGAUCUUGCUGUCCUAAGGACAGCUGAGCAAGGAGGUCGAGGAGGAUCUUGGGUGGUGGAGGAGAGGAAACCGGGUAAGAUGUGUGAAGCAGUCGGCUAUACCAGGCACAGAGAGGACCCACUGGGACACAAGAGCCUGCAUGUGAAGCCAGGCCUUGGGCCACCUUGUUCCUCAAAGGGGUGCUUACUUCCAUGGGAUCUUCAAAGGGACUGUGGAAAGAGAAGCCUUCAGCCCACACCUCUGAAUGCUUUUCCACCACAGCAUGCCCUGUGGCCUGUAUCCUGCUGGUGUGGAACAGUCAGACCCCUGCAGGGCUGCAGAGCCUCUGUACUGGGCGGCAUCCCAGCCUGAGUGCCAGAGCUCAGUGGGCAGGCCCCCGAGCAAGUAGAGAGGAGGGCACCUUUUGGACAGAACCUGUGGGACAAGAGCGACGUCUCAUCCGUUCAGGUUCCUCACAAAAUGAGAGUCAGGAAGAUCAGGGUGCAGACCUGAUUUCCCACGAAGGGCUGAAAGCAGACAACCGGAGGGAGAGCAGCACCUGGGCCAAUGAGGUAGAAGACAGAAGACCACAGUGUACUUCUGCCCUCAACCUCACCCCCUCCCACCUACAUCCUCCACACCCCCUGACCACCUUCUUCAGAAACGUAAUAGGAAUCAAGAUCCCCCCUGGCCUGGUUGCUAUGGGAGGCACAGUGGCCUGAUGGAGCCUGAGGCAGGUGUGGGAAGAUGUGGAUUGUCUAACUGGAGGUUGGGAGUCCAGGGUGCAGAAGGAGAAGCUUGGAGUGCAGGAUUUGGUGGUAUGUGUGUGGCAGUAGGCACUAUGUUCUAAUUGCCAGUUUUUUUUUCUUCUUCCUUUUUUUCUCUAGCUAAACAAGCACUGGCCUUGAGAUAAGCAAUGCUGAAGCACUUGCAGCUCACCUAUUACCAUAAACUGACUGAGCCCUCCCUACACAAGCCGUAACUACUGCUUUGAUUGGACAAGAGACUGAUUUCAGUAGUUUUCUCUUGAUAAGAGACCACUGGCCGUGGGCGGGUUCUGGACAGUUUACAGAAGCUAUGCACUUGAUUGCCUUUGUGUCCCUGCUUCACCUUUUGAAGCAUAGGGCCUAAUUAUAAUGUAUUUAAAUGUUGUCUCCACCCCAAAGUGAACAUGGGUUGCAUGUAACAGGCAUGUUUACUCAGCAUGCAUGCAGCAGGAUCCCUUCACAAAUAUUCAGAGCUCCCCCUAUUCCCUGUUGAAUAUGUAUAUGUGGCCAGCCAGAUCAACGUAAAUCACUAUUCGCCCUCCCCUCCCUGGAAACCUACUUUUCGGGUUUCAGCAGGAAGCUAUGCCUCCCAGUCUGUCAGAAUGGCCACUUGCAGGCUGUAACCCUUUAUAAAAAAAUAAAAUCUCCUUUCUAAAUUU